rnacentral:lncRNA from 1 species
AGCCAACAAGUUGUGAUAACUCGAAGAGACUUGAUGGAAUCAAGUUGAAGGCAAAGCGCUGGGGCUCGAGUGGCUGUGAAUAGAUGAUAAGUUGUGAUAACUCGAAGAGACUUGAUGGAAUCAAGUCAAAGGUGGAGCGCUGGGGCUCGCGGAGCUGAAGAGCUCGAGUGGUUGUGAAUAGCCGAGCGGAGGCAAAGAUAGGUAGUGUUUG